rnacentral:rRNA from 1 species
UACGUAGGGUCCGAGCGUUGUCCGGAAUUACUGGGCGUAAAGAGCUCGUAGGUGGUUUGUCGCGUUGUUCGUGAAAACUCACAGCUUAACUGUGGGCGUGCGGGCGAUACGGGCAGACUUGAGUACUGCAGGGGAGACUGGAAUUCCUGGUGUAGCGGUGGAAUGCGCAGAUAUCAGGAGGAACACCGGUGGCGAAGGCAGAUCUCUGGGCCGUAACUGACGCUGAGGAGCGAAAGCAUGGGGAGCGAACAGG